rnacentral:RNase_P_RNA from 2 species
GAAGUAGGUCUGGCGGUCGCAAAUGAUUUAUUCAUUUGAGGAAAGUCCGAGCUCCGCAGGAUAGGAUGCUCUGUAACGCAGAGAAGAAGCGAUUCUAUGGAGAGCACCACAGAAAAGAUACCGCUUGGGGAGCAGUUUUUUGAUGUGUUUCAAGAACAUAUCUACCUGCGCGGCAUGUGCCUGUACUCAAGUAAGGGUGAAAAGGCGCGGUGAGAGCGCGCCGCGUUUCGGGUGACCGAGACGGCAUGGUAAGCCCCAUCCGGAGCAAGACCAAAUAGGGGAAUUGCGCUAUAUCGCGCGCAAGUGAUCCGCUUGAAAUUCCCGGGUUAGGUCGCUUGAGGAACGGAGCAAUCCGUUUCCCAGAUAAAUGACCGUCUGUCUUCCGAAUUUUUUCGGGGAUAACAGAACUCGGCUUAUGAACUGCUUCCACA